rnacentral:rRNA from 1 species
GACGAACGCUGGCGGCGCGCUUAACACAUGCAAGUCGAACGGAAAGGCCUGCUUUCCCUUGUGGAUUGCGGGUACUCGAGUGGCGAACGGGUGAGUAACACGUGAGUCAUCUGCCCCCAACUUGGGUAUAAGCCUGGGAAACUGGGUCUAAUUCCCGAUAGGACUGCAGGGUGGUGCCUGUGGUGGAAAACGAUUUUCUAGUGGUUGGGGAUGAGCUCGCGGCCUAUCAGCUUGUUGGUGGGGUAAUGGCCUACCAAGGCGGCGACGGGUAGCCGGCCUGGGAGCGUGGACGGCCGCAUUGAGACUGGGAUACGGCCCAGACUCCUACGGGAGGCAGCAGUGGGGACUAUUGCACAAGGGGCGUAAGCCUGAUGCAGCGACGCCGCGUGGGGGAUGACGGCCUUCGGGUUGUAAACUCCUUUCGACCGCGAGGAAGCCACCUGGUUGGAAGGGUGGUGACGGUAGUGGUAGAAGAAGCACCGGCUAACUACGUG